GACGAACGCUGGCGGCGUGCUUAACACAUGCAAGUCGAACGGUGACCCAGGGCUUGCCCUGGUGAUCAGUGGCGAACGGUGAGUAACACGUGGGCAACCUGCCCCCUGACUUCGGGAUAACUCCUCGAAAGAGGAGCUAAUACCGGAUACGACCACUUCGGACAUCCGAUGGUGGUGGAAAGUUUUUCGGUCAGGGAUGGGCCCGCGGCCUAUCAGCUAGUUGGUGGGGUAAUGGCCUACCAAGGCGACGACGGGUAGCCGGCCUGAGAGGGCGACCGGCCACACUGGGACUGAGACACGGCCCAGACUCCUACGGGAGGCAGCAGUGGGGAAUAUUGCGCAAUGGGCGAAAAGCCUGACGCAGCGACGCCGCGUGAGGGAUGAAGGCCUCGG
rnacentral:rRNA from 1 species